rnacentral:rRNA from 1 species
UUCCGAAAGGAAGAUUAAUACCGCAUAAGAUUGUAGUACCGCAUGGUAUAGCAAUUAAAGGAGCAAUCCGCUAUGAGAUGGACCCGCGUCGCAUUAGCUAGUUGGUGAGGUAACGGCUCACCAAGGCGACGAUGCGUAGCCGACCUGAGAGGGUGAUCGGCCACAUUGGGACUGAGACACGGCCCAGACUCCUACGGGAGGCAGCAGUGGGGAAUAUUGCACAAUGGGGGAAACCCUGAUGCAGCAACGCCGCGUGAGUGAUGACGGUCUUCGGAUUGUAAAGCUCUGUCUUCAGGGACGAUAAUGACGGUACCUGAGGAGGAAGCCACGG